rnacentral:rRNA from 1 species
AAACCGGGGCUAAUACCGGAUGGUUGUUUGAACCGCAUGGUUCAGACAUAAAAGGUGGCUUCGGCUACCACUUACAGAUGGACCCGCGGCGCAUUAGCUAGUUGGUGAGGUAACGGCUCACCAAGGCGACGAUGCGUAGCCGACCUGAGAGGGUGAUCGGCCACACUGGGACUGAGACACGGCCCAGACUCCUACGGGAGGCAGCAGUAGGGAAUCUUCCGCAAUGGACGAAAGUCUGACGGAGCAACGCCGCGUGAGUGAUGAAGGUUUUCGGAUCGUAAAGCUCUGUUGUUAGGGAAGAACAAGUGCCGUUCAAAUAGGGCGGCACCUUGACGGUACCUAACCAGAAAGCCACGGCUAACUACGUGCCAGCAGCCGCGGUAAUACGUAGGUGGCAAGCGUUGUCCGGAAUUAUUGGGCGUAAAGGGCUCGCAGGCGGUUUCUUAAGUCUGAUGUGAAAGCCCCCGGCUCAACCGGGGAGGGUCAUUGGAAACUGGGGAACUUGAGUGCAGAAGAGGAGAGUGGAAUUCCACGUGUAGCGGUGAAAUGCGUAGAGAUGUGGAGGAACACCAGUGGCGAAGGCGACUCUCUGGUCUGUAACUGACGCUGAGGAGCGAAAGCGUGGGGAGCGAACAGGAUUAGAUACCCUGGUAGUCCACGCCGUAAACGAUGAGUGCUAAGUGUUAGGGGGUUUCCGCCCCUUAGUGCUGCAGCUAACGCAUUAAGCACUCCGCCUGGGGAGUACGGUCGCAAGACUGAAACUCAAAGGAAUUGACGGGGGCCCGCACAAGCGGUGGAGCAUGUGGUUUAAUUCGAAGCAACGCGAAGAACCUUACCAGGUCUUGACAUCCUCUGACAAUCCUAGAGAUAGGACGUCCCCUUCGGGGGCAGAGUGACAGGUGGUGCAUGGUUGUCGUCAGCUCGUGUCGUGAGAUGUUGGGUUAAGUCCCGCAACGAGCGCAACCCUUGAUCUUAGUUGCCAGCAUUCAGUUGGGCACUCUAAGGUGACUGCCGGUGACAAACCGGAGGAAGGUGGGGAUGACGUCAAAUCAUCAUGCCCCUUAUGACCUGGGCUACACACGUGCUACAAUGGACAGAACAAAGGGCAGCGAAACCGCGAGGUUAAGCCAAUCCCACAAAUCUGUUCUCAGUUCGGAUCGCAGUCUGCAACUCGACUGCGUGAAGCUGGAAUCGCUAGUAAUC